CGAGCGCAACCCCUAUUGUUAGUUGCCAUCAUUCAGUUGGGCACUCUAGCGAGACUGCCGGUAAUAAACCGGAGGAAGUGGGAGUGACGUCAAAUCAUCAUGCCCCUUAUGACCUGGGCUACACACGUGCUACAAUGGUUGGUACAACGAGUUGCGAGUCGGUGACGGCGAGCUAAUCUCUUAAAGCCAAUCUCAGUUCGGAUUGUAGGCUGCAACUCGCCUACAUGAAGUCGGAAUCGCUAGUAAUCGCGGAUCAGCACGCCGCGGUGAAUACGUUCCCGGGCCUU
rnacentral:rRNA from 1 species